AGCAAAGAUAAAACCACAGUUCUGGUUGGUAGUCCAGACGCAGCAAGCGCUGUAAGUAACCUGCCUCCUUUGGUUGUCCCUUCUUUGUAAAUAAA
rnacentral:ncRNA from 1 species